rnacentral:rRNA from 1 species
GAUUGAACGCUAGCGGCAGGCCUAAUACAUGCAAGCCGGACGGCAAGUUGAGUAGUCAAUACUUGACCUAGAGUGGCGUAAGGGUGCGUAACACGUAUGCAAUCUGCCCACAGCCGGGAGAUAGCCCUCCGAAAGGAGGAUUAAUAUCCCAUAGGAAGAUGAGAUGGCAUCAUUUUAUUUUUAAACUACGGGGCUGUGGAUGAGCAUGCGGUUGAUUAGCUAGUUGGCGGGUAAAGGCCCACAAGGCGAUGAUCAAUAGGGGACCUGAGAGGGUAGAUCCCCCACACUGGCACUGAGAUACGGGACCAGACUCCUACGGGAGGCAGCAGUAGGGAAUAUUGGACAAUGGGGGCAACCCUGAUCCAGCAAUGCCGCGUGAGUGAUGAAGGCCUUAGGGUUGUAAAGCUCUUUUGCCAGGGAAGAUGAUGACUGUACCUGGAGAAUAAGCCCCGG